rnacentral:rRNA from 1 species
UACAGAGGGUGCGAGCGUUGUUCGGAAUUACUGGGCGUAAAGGGCGCGUAGGCGGCCUACUAAGUCAGACGUGAAAUCCCCCGGCUUAACCUGGGAACUGCGUCUGAUACUGGAAGGCUUGAGGAUGGGAGAGGGAUGUAGAAUUCCAGGUGUAGCGGUGAAAUGCGUAGAUAUCUGGAGGAAUACCGGUGGCGAAGGCGGCAUCCUGGACCAUUACUGACGCUGAGGCGCGAAAGCUAGGGGAGCAAACGGG